UGCCGCGUGUGUGAAGAAGGUCUUAGGAUUGUAAAGCACUUUAAGUUGGGAGGAAGGGUUAUAGCCUAAUACGCUGUAACUUUGACGUUACCGACAGAAUAAGCACCGGCUAACUCUGUGCCAGCAGCCGCGGUAAUACGA
rnacentral:rRNA from 1 species